AUUGAACGCUGGCGGCAGGCCUAACACAUGCAAGUCGAACGAGUGGCGGACGGGUGAGUAAUGUCUGGGAAACUGCCUGAUGGAGGGGGAUAACUACUGGAAACGGUAGCUAAUACCGCAUACCAUCGGAUGUGCCCAGAUGGGAUUGGCUAGUAGGUGGGGUAACGGCUCACCUAGGCGACGAUCCCUAGCUGGUCUGAGAGGAUGACCAGCCACACUGGAAUGGAGACACGGUCCAGACUCCUACGGGAGGAGGCAGGGGGAAAUAUUGCACAAUGGGCGCAAGCCUGAGGCAGCCAUGCCGCUGGUAUGAAGAAGGCCUUCGGGUUGUAAAGUACUUUCAGCGGGGAGGCGUUACCCGCAGAAGAAGCACCGGCUAACUCCGUGCCAGCAGCCGCGGUAAUUC
rnacentral:rRNA from 1 species